rnacentral:rRNA from 1 species
AAUAGAUACCCCGGUAGUCCACGCCGUAAACGAUGAGUGCUAAGUGUUAGAGGGUUUCCGCCCUUUAGUGCUGCAGCUAACGCAUUAAGCACUCCGCCUGGGGAGUACGGCCGCAAGGCUGAAACUCAAAGGAAAUUGACGGGGGGCCCGCACAAGCGGUGGAGCAUGUGGUUUAAUUCGAAGCAACGCGAAGAACCUUACCAGGUCUUGACAUCCUCUGCCAACCCUAGAGAUAGGGCGUUCCCCUUCGGGGGACAGAGUGACAGGUGGUGCAUGGUUGUCGUCAGCUCGUGUCGUGAGAUGUUGGGUUAAGUCCCGCAACGAGCGCAACCCUUGAUCUUAGUUGCCAGCAUUCAGUUGGGCACUCUAAGGUGACUGCCGGUGACAAACCGGAGGAAGGUGGGGAUGACGUCAAAUCAUCAUGCCCCUUAUGACCUGGGCUACACACGUGCUACAAUGGAUGGUACAAAGAGCUGCGAACCCGCGAGGGUAAGCCAAUCUCAUAAAGCCAUUCUCAGUUCGGAUUGUAGG